rnacentral:rRNA from 1 species
UAAGUUAUGAAGGGCGCAUGGUGAAUGCCUUGGUACUAGGAGCCGAUGAAGGACGGGACUAACACCGAUAUGCUUCGGGGACGGUAAGUACGCUUUGAUCCGGAGAUUUCCAAA